UGUGCAGGAGAGUAAGAUGCCAUCCUAUCAGUUAGUAAGUAGGGUAAGGGCCUACUUAGACGAAGACGGGUACGGGGAAUGAGGGUUUGAUUCCGGAGAGGGAGCCUGAGAGAUGGCUACCAGGACCAAGGUCAGCAGCAGGCGCGAAAAUUAUCGAAGCCCGCCUAGGGGCGAUAGUGAGGAGACGUGUAUAACGAAGUACGUGUAAAGAACGUGCUAAUAACUGGAGGUCAAGUCUGGUGCCAGCAUCCGCGGUAAUUCCAGCUCCAGGGGUGUCUAUGAUGAUUGCUGCGAUUAAAAAGUCCGUAGUCAAUCUGACUGACUGACCUGCAAUGUGAUUGAUUAAAGAACGAGCAGGGUUAGGAAAGCAGAGAAUUAGGAGCGACCGAGGGCUAGAGUAUUGAAUGGCGAGAGGUGAAAUUUGAUGACCCAUUCAGGAGUGACAAAGGCGAAGGCACUAGUCAAGGGCGAAUCCGAUGAUCAAGGACGUAGGCUAGAGUUUCGAAAACGAUUAGAGACCGGAGUAGUUCUAGCAGUAAACUAUGCCGACGCCGUGGUAUCAACAAUGGUAUUGCGGAAGAGAAAUCAAGUAAGGCUUUGGGGAGAGUACGCGCGCAAGCGAUAAAUUUAAAGGAAAUUGACGGAGGAACACCACAAGGAGUGGAGUGUGCGGCUUAAUUUGACUCAACGCGGGACAGCUUACCAGGCCCGAUAAUCGAGCGAGCGUAGUACGCGAUAGGUUAAAGAGUGGUGCAUGGCUGCUAUCGACAGUUGGGGUGACCUUAGGGUUAAUUCCGGCAAGUAGUGAGACCCCUGCAGAUAGUGGACAGGUAUUUUUAAAAU
rnacentral:rRNA from 1 species